UCGCCGCCGACGACGUCGCGAGAAGUCCACUGAACCUUAUCAUUUAGAGGAAGGAGAAGUCGUAACAAGGUUUCCGUAGGUGAACCUGCGGAAGGAUCAUUGUCGAUGCCUGCAAAGCAGAACGACCCGCGAACCGUUCCUCAACACUCGGGACGCCGGAUGGCGUUCGGCCGACCGGCAUCCCGACGCUCCGGACGCGGGGGGUGAGAUCCACCCUCGGCGGAUGGAGCAUCAAACACACCCCGGCGUGCAAAGCGCCAAGGUACUCCAACGGUAGGGCAAGCACCCGUCGGCCUGGGUUUCCAGCGCGGUCGGGUGUCUGUUCGGUGCAGUAAAUCUAAACGACUNNNGUGUGAAUUGCAGAAUCCCGUGAACCAUCGAGUCUUUGAACGCAAGUUGCGCCCGAAGCCUUGGCUGAGGGCACGCCUGCCUGGGUGUCACACGUCGCGUCGCCUCCGAAACCUUUCCCCUCGUAACAACGUGGCGAUGGUUCCGGAUGCGGAAGAUGGCCUCCCGUGACCACGAGCCACGGACGGCCCAAGUUUUGGCUGGGGAAGCGAAGCGCCACGGCUUUCGGUGGUCGGCACAGCCCCCGAGGCGAUGAACGAACGAAGCCCGUGGCUGCCGCGACGGUCCCCGGUCCACGACCCCAAUCGCUAACCAAAGCGACCUCAGGUCAGGCGGGGCUACCCGCUGAGUUUAAGCAUAUCAAUAAGCGGAGG
rnacentral:rRNA from 1 species